AUAAUUAUAUUCAAAAUUAAAAAUUGGCUAAAUUAUAUAAAAUCUCCGGUCAAAAUUUGAUUUUUCACUUCCCUUUCCUGUCAUUUAAAAAUCUACAUUUUGUUUCCUUAUAAAAUAAAAAAUAUUCGGUGUGUAAAAUGAUCAUUUUGUCACUCACUAUUGUUGUCUCCUUUAUCAUCUUCCUCAACCGCCGCCUCGAUCGGCCACGAUUCACACUUCGAUCGGCUGCGAUUUCUCUCCAUUUUUUUUUCCAUCUGCUCUUCCUGCACCUUCGCCGCCCCUCGAUUUCGGCGAUAGUAUGGAGGAAAUCGAGAUGGGCGUUGAUGGAGAGGUAGGAAAGAGCAACGAGGGCGAAGGCGAGGCGGCGGAGGAGGGCGAACGGAUGUGGGCGAGUGCAGGGCGGUGGAGGAGGGCGAGGCGGCGAGGCGGCGGUAGGCGAAGCAACAGGGAAGAGGACGAAGGGGUAUUUUUGGCAUAAAAAAAUAUUUUAUAACGGAACCCUAAUGGUAGGGGGUGAAGUGCACAUUUUUUAUUUUACUAGUUAAGUGCACGUGCCACGCACGUCACACAAAUACUAAAAAAAAAAAUUUAUAAAUAAAUAUUAUAGAUUCGAUAAAUAAUAUUUAAUCAUUACUAAAAUAAAAUGAUAGAAAUAAAAAAUAGAAUUACAAUAUCAUAAAAGAAAGAACACAAAAUCUAUCAUGGUAUCAUUAAAAAAAAAUACAAAAUUCGUCACUAAACUAAUUGAAAAUGUCACCAUUAGUUCCCCUUCCGUACAAAUUGCAUUGUAAGUAAGAAAAACAAUAAAAUAAAUAUUAGUAAAUCAUCAGAAUAGAUAAAAUUAAAAAAAAUGUAAAUUUAAUAAGAAUUCAUAUAAGUAAAAAAUUUAGCUUAAUUUUAUUUCUUGAGUUUUUGGAAUAGGUGGAUUAAGCACAAUUUUACUUAUAAAAUUUUGCUAAAUUGAUCCUGAUAAAUAAAUUUAAAAUACCACAAAAAAAUAAAAUAUUAAAAAGUACAUUUAUCCUAAUUAUCGAUAUUAAAGUGCACUAUUUUUAUACAACAACUGAAUUGUUUACAAUAGUGUCUCUCCAAAUGCCAAUGUGUGUUAUAGCACUAUCUUGUUCUAGAGUAUGAAUCUAAUUCGAUUCAUGCUUCAAUCCAUCCAAAUAAUUAGUUAUUAAUAAUUUUUUCAUGCCAAUGUGUGUUAGCAUUAUCUUGUCCUAGAAAAUCAAUCUAAUUCAAUUCAUACUUCAAUCCAUCCAAAUAAUUAGUUCUUAAUAAUUUUAUUCAUGUGAAAUGAUAAAAAGAGAAAUAUUUUAAAUUAAAAUUCAAAUUAUCAAAUUCGCGGGUAUUAAAUUUUGGCGGGCAUUACAAAUUUAAAAUUUAAUUUUGGUACUUAGAUUGGUAGGUAUUACGUUUGAGAAAAAAAAUAUUUGAGAAAAUGUUUGGAUAUGUAAUAAAUUUAAUUUUACAUAUUAUGUGAUUAGCGGAGAUAUUACGUGAUUGGCGGGUAGGGCGUUAGAUAAGAGAUAAAUUUAGUUUUACGUAUUACAUGAUUGUUCGGUAGAAAAAAAAUUUGAAAAAAGGAUAUUUUUGCCAACAAAAAUAACAGAUACUUUUAUUUUUAUUCGUUGGAUGAGAUCCAAUGGCGAAAACUUAAGAUCUAUAUUUGAGAAUAAAUUAUUAUUUGAAGAUUUAUUUAAAAUAGAUAAAAUAUAUUUUAUAUUUGAGAACACGGAGAAUAUUUUGGUGUUGAAUAUUUUGGUAAAAAUAUUUAAAAUUAUAUUUAAUUAACGAUUUUGUUUUGAUUGGGCGGGUAUUAAUUUUUUUAAAAAAUAUUCUAUGCUUUUACGACGCAUUAUUUAAAUAUUGAAUAUUUUGUUAAAAAUAUUUAAAAUUAUAUUUAAUUAACGAUUUAGUUUUGAUUUGGGGUAUUAAAAUAUUUUUAACAAUAUUUAACGCUUUUAUGGCGCGCCAAAUUUUAAUACUCGUCAAAAUUAAAUCUACUAUUUUAUUUAAGGAAAAACCUACUAUCAUAAAUUAAAAUUCAAAUUAUCAAAUUCGCGGGUAUUAAAUUUAUGCGGGCAUUACAAAUUUAAAUUUUAAUUUUGAAUACUACAUGUUGGCAGCAAAUAAAUUUAAUUUUACGUAUUACGUGAUUAGCGAAGGUAUUGCAUGAUUGGCGGGUAUUACGUUAGAUAAGAGAUAAAUUUAGUUUUACGUAUGGUGGGUAGAAAAAAAAAUAUAUGAGAAACGCGGCGUAGAUAGGAGAUAACGGAUAUAAAGGGUAUUUUUGUCAACAAAAAUGACAGAUAUUUUUAUUUUUAUUCGUUGGAUGAGAUCUAAUGGCGAAAACUUAAGAUUUAUAUUUAAGAAUAAAUUAUUAUUUAAAGAUUUAUUUAAAAUGAGUGGUUGAAAUUUACUGGACAUGACAAUAUUAGUAAAAAAGAUAGAGAUAUUUUUGGAAAGGAAAAAAUUUCAAAACUCACGCUUUUAUAAGUAGUAUAGAUAAGGAGGCAAAGUGUAUGUUUUUAAAUGACAGGGGAAAAGUGAAAAAUUGGGUCUUGACAGAAGGGUUUUCUGUAAUUUGGCCUUAAAAAUUUAUCAAAAUAUUAUUAUUUUUUUAUUGUAGGAUAAAAAUGAGACGACAAAUAAUAGUAGAAUACAAAUUAUACAUAUAUAAAAUAUAAAAAAAUUAAUUUAUCCCUUCAUUAUAUAUUUAUGGUUAAAAUUUUAAAUAUUAUUUAUAUGAUUUUGCACUUCUUAUUUUAUUGUCCUAUGAUUUAAAGUGUAUUCAUUUAAUACCCUGUAAUUUUAUUUUAUUUUAUUUUUUUAUUAUUCAUUCUAUUAUUUUUUUUCGUUAAAUUAAUAACAAAAUUAAAACUAAAAAAAUACUAAAAAGUAAAUAUUU
rnacentral:lncRNA from 1 species